ensembl:lncRNA
UGUGCUACAGAGGAGGCUUUUGUUCUUAAUUGUAGAAGAAUAUAGUCCUAAAUAAACUGUCUGGAGAAUGUCUUCUAGCAUUAAGAAAUGGUGAAAUUUAUUUUGAAAAGUUUUUCAAGGGUGUAAUAAUCGCAAAAACAGCUUUCAGUAAUCUCACUAAGAUUGUUUCCAUGAAUGCUGAGAGCUGUGGACACUUGUGAACAUUCACGUAAUAACGUAAUACAAUGUCAUAAACAUGUGUCAGAGUCAGGGAAGGGACAGCAAAUUUGCAGCAGCCUAGAAAAAGAAAUAUCUGAAUAAAGAUAAAUGGCACUUACUUGUCAAAACAGAAUGAGGUUUAUAAAGAUGAGUAAUGGAGAUCAGCAUUAUCUCCAGGAGGUUCUCUGAUUUGCUUCAACCCUAUUACAUACACUCAAAUUUUGUGUGCUGUUCAGUUACAGGUAAGACUAAAAAGCCUAAUGUUCAAUUUUGGAGAUGCUGCCCACAAGAACAUUGGGUUGUGUUCCCACAUGCACAUAUGAGGAGGAGGAAAUGAAACAUCAAAAUGAAAAGAAAAUGGAAUUUCACACCAAUGGCUCUCAAGAGAAAACUGAAGAUUUAUUCAAAUAUUUAUCCUCAUUUUGUGAACUACUGACUCUCCUCAUCCAAACAUGCAAAUGGGAUUAAGCAUAGCUUUGGAUCUUAAACAAACAAACAGUCCAAAGUUCUUACUAUGGAAAUAAUCAUAUUCUUCACAUUUGACUUGAAGCUGAAUUAUUACCAGAAAAAAAUAGAUUGUGGCAUUACAGUGUGUUAGUAAAUAGUAGAUAGACACAGGAGGCUACAAAAAUAAAGUAAGAUUUUCUCCACAUAAUGUCCUGUAAAACAUGUACACUUCACCUUCAUAUGUGAUAAAAGACACAUUUGAAGUCAGAGAAAUUAGGAAAUCAGAGAAAGGAAUCGAUAGCAUGACAUUUAGAAAAGAAGUUUCUUCCUUGCUACCUAAUUCCAAAAGGAGAAAGAAAAUACCAUGAAGAACUUGUCCAUUCUAGAGGUGUUUUUGUUGCUCUUUAUUUCCUUUGUAAAACGAACAUCUUAAUCUGUUCACAGUUUGGCACAUUAGAUUCAUUUCAAUGACAAUUCUUCCAGAUAUCCAAGUAACAAAACUGAAGGAGAGAUGCCACAUCUCAUACUUCUUUCUAUCCUUGCCUAUUAACACACACCUGUGCUUAGAAAGGAAAUAUUAUUGGACCUCAACUAAGAACUUUCUUUUUUUUUUUCCUUAUCACACACUUGUUUAUCACAGUGUAAUAGUCACAGUCUUCAUGAGGUUUGGGCAUGAUUCUGAUCCUUGACAGCUGGAGACAUGCAACAUUUUUGGGGUUCUUUCGUCACUCAGAUUUGAUAAUAAAAAAAUGAAAAAUGUGUCUUCACAAUUUCUUUUCAAAGACAUUCCAAACAACUGGAAGUGGCUACUCAGGAUACAGGUAUAAGGACAGCUUUGCCAUUUGAAUAUCAAUAUUUUUAUUUUGUGUUUUCAUGUACAUCUGUCUGCUCGCAAUCUAAAUGCUGCAGUGAACACAGGAUGUACCGUGAACUAGAACUUCCAUUUGCUAGUAGAUUUUUUUUCAUAAAUGUUCUUUGUAGUCUAUAUGAAUAUGGGCAUUUUAAUUAUUGAUCAGAAGCAUUAUUUCUUAUUUGCAUCUGUGUUGUGGAAGAGUUCUUAAAAACUGAGCAGAAAUUCACGCACAUUUAGAUUAUUCUCUUUUCUGGCUGUUCAUUAGUUAAACGCUUAUGCAACACCCUUCCUUACAAACUGCACUACAUCUCUCCCAUUACUGCUCUGACAAAUCUUUCUGGGCCUGAUCUGCAGGCCUAUGAAGUCAAUAGGAGCCCAUCCAACAGCCCCAGCAGGCUUUGGGUCCAGUCUCUCUCACUUCCAACUUCUUAGUAAGAAAAAAUAUGCACAACACCAGAAGGUGUAAAAUAUGAAUCAGGUAAUAUUCUGUAAUGCAUGUGGGUAAAACAAUGGACUUUGGUCCACCUUUGUGACAAACAUGUCAAGAAAUCAGUGUGAUACCUGUUCACUGCAAAGUAGGAAUGAAAAUCCAGCAAAUAUUUUUGACAGAAGCUAAAUUUCCUUGGUUAAAAGGCUGUCUUUCUGAAAUGAAGUUUCUUUGAUACAUCUCUCUCACUUUGUUUUUUGCCCAGUCCCUUUACCUUUGAAAUAUAUUCUGCGCUGGCCAAACCCUCUUCCUCUGAAGUCAAUGGGAGUUUUACCAUUGAUUUCAAUGGGACAAUGAUCAUACACAGGUUGCAAAACACAGUGAGAAAAAAUAUCAUUGUCAAAGUUGAAAGUAUGAGAAACAUUCACACGAUUUGACAAUUCCACCGUAAAACCUCCAGCAUCAACCAGCUUUUCCGUGUGUUUCCCGCAACUCACGCCCGGCAGCGCAGGAUAACACAAAGCCCCGCGCCCCGGUGCCUUCAACACUCGGCAUCGGAGUUGAGCCCCAGUCUGCGAGGAGUUAGCACAGCCACGCGCUAAUCCGACAGCAAACAUUUUGCAAGCAUCAACCCUUCCCUAAGGGACGAGCAUUCUGCCGCCGGAGCCCAGGGAAGCGCAUGGGAGGGCGCAGCCAGGACGGGCAGCGGGCACCUGGCCGCUCCACUACUCAGGGUUUCCCGUAGAUUUUAAUAGAAGCUUGUGCUGGAAACAGGUCAAGAAGAAGGACUAGCCAUCAAACCAUAUUUUUAACAUAGCUACUGCAGUUCCCCACAGAGAACAUUUUUGUCAUUGUUCCUCAGACAUGAACUUGUUGGAUCUGACUGUGCUUUCAUCUUUCUAGUGCUAUCCAGAAGUAACUCGAGUGGAAGUACACAAAAUACAGGGAUGCGAGAGUGGUAUAAGGGAGAUUUAAAAUGGACUUGUGAAAGAAUUUCUCCUGCCUUGCCAUAUGGAUAUUGAUUUCUCUCCCUCAGGCAGAAUAUAAUUGCCUGCUCUAAUUUAGCAUUGAUCUACCCACCCAAGUUUCUUAAAGUGCUACACAGGCCUCAAUUAAAUUAUUCCUAAUACCACCUUUGUGAAGUAGGAUAGCUGUAAUUACUCACACUUAGAAAAUGGUGAGAGGUAAAAAGCGAUUUGUCCAAACCAUGCAGUGCAACAAGACACGAUUAAAGCAGGAGGCAAACAUACUAUGCCAUGUGCUGUACGUCAAAUUACCCUGAGUUUUUCUAAUAGCAAAAUAUUUGUUCAUCCAAUAUUUUGUGAUUCCAAUGAACCACACUUGGUUAGAUACUAAGUGUACCAGGACUUCUGUUGUUCUUAUCAAUACAUCUAUUUUCUCCUUCAUGAGACCUCUAGAGAUCAUUGAGUCCAGCCCCCUGCAAAGCGGGCCCCCUACAAAGGAAUAACACCUCUUGCUGCUGAAUUCAACAAAUGUGGUCUCGCCACUAUUUUUAAGUGUCAUUUUAUUUAUUAGUUCAAGAGAAACCAGCCAGACUGAUACUGAGGAGAAACAAGUACAAAGUAUUUUGUAUACACACCCAAUAGAUCAGAAAAAAUGCAGGUUUUAGCAACUGAAGGAGCCCAACACUAAGGCAACACAAGUUAGGUAAUACUUUGAAUCAGAUAAAAAUGAUAAAGUAGUGCUGAGUAUUUGGGUGACAAACUGAACUUAGUCAGGUCUUCUAUGCAACAUGUGACUUGAAUUCAAUGAGAAGAAACAAAUAGCUGUAGAACAAGUGAAGGCAAUGACAGAGCCUUUAUUUGAGAAAUAGGCACUAGAGGAAAAGAUAUCAGAAAGGAAUUGACUCACCCCUCCCGGUAACAGUGUGGAGAGAGGGACGAGCUGAGAAAUGCGACCCUCCCCGGUUCGUACUGUCGCGCCGCUGGAGAGAAGGGCAGGGGCAAAAGGGGGACCCGCGCAGACUCAGACUGCACAGGAAGUAUUGCAGAGACAGAAGGGGUGGCUCCAGAACCCCCUCCCCCCCCCCACUCCAGGCACCCACACACUCAUGUAGCCCACCCAUCGAUUCAGGCUGUGACUCUGGAAUUCCACUACAGUCGCCAACCAAACAAAGCCCAACCUAGCGCAGUAUUACCAGACUUGUAACCUAUGUAACUGUAGGUAACUACAGAUAAGUUCAAAUGUAAGAUAGAUAUGGCUUUUACAUGCUGAUUCUAGCUUUAUCUGAGAGAAAAAGAAAAUGAUACUGAUAUUGGAAAGCUGUACAAUAUUCACAAAACCUGUCAGCUAUACUACAUGGUGUUUCUUAAACAGAGAAACCACAAGAAGGUCAAUAGCAUGGUUUAUAUCUUUUGACCUUGCUUCGCUAUAUUACUUGACUUGAACCAUGUAAAAUGUUUGCAUUUUUGGCCAAGAAUUUCCAGUAUCGGAGUCCCCUCUGGGCCCUGGAUUGGUUAUAAACAAGUUUAUAGUGAGCCAAGUUGCUUCAGGUUUCACUGUUAACAUUCAAAGAAACUAGGGAUGUAAAAUUUGUUUUAGUAAUAGGAUCUAGCCUAGUAGUCUCUGUAGUCUUACUCUGACAGACAUCAGUUUGAAGAGCUGUUUGUGUCAGGCUGAGGCCUUGCUGUGACGAUAAUAGCAUAAAAUGAUCCAACAGAUCCAGGGUAAAAGUUUUGACUCCCUCUGAAAUAUACCUAAAUAAAUACUCCUUGCAUGUUUCUUAUCUAUAUGAUAAUGUAGACUUGUGUAAAAAGUUUGGACUCUGACCUUUCCAAAGGAUGAGCCUUGAAGCAAACUCUCCUGCUUUACUCCCAUUAGUCUACAUGUACUGCCUGACAAUACUGCAUUUUGCCAGAAAUAUCUUUGUGGUUAUACACUUAACCCAUGUUAAAGAAGAGGGAAUAAUGUCUGCCAGCAAGCAGACAAAAUAUAAGCCUAUCACUGUCUAUACUGCAAUUUAAGCUCUCCUAGAAACACUCUAGCGAUCUGAACUGCAAAGUAACUGUGAAGUUCCAGUGAGAAGUAGUUCAUAAUGAUGCCAUUUGCAGCAGCAUUUUCUGGCUCUCCAUGGCUUCAGCAUCACCCCAAAUGAGAAGAAAGUCUCUCCACUCCAUUCUGACUUUCUUGACUGUACUGAGAUUGUCCAUUUCCUUCUCUAGGGAUGUGGAAAUAAUACUGCCCUUGUACUGAUGUUUCUGUCCUACUGAAAACUGUAAAGCAAGUAGCCUCUAAGGCAAGGGGAAUACAGAAUCAAGUUUCUGGUCUGCUUUAUGGUACAAUAUGAACAUGAAUUUGCCAUAGGAAAAUAUUCAGCUACCAUUUCCCCCUUGAAUAAGAGCAGAUUUAGGGAAUAUAUGUUAACAGUUCUCAGGAAGCACAUUUUGUUUAUGUGAUGUUUAAAAAGAGAACUGUGCCUUUAAGUGUAACUAAGCGAGUAAUGAAAGUAAAUGCAAUUGUUAAUUUUCCAUUUUCAGAAGGAAAACUUUAUAUAUGUAGUCAAAUACACAAAAGGAAGCAUGGAUAGCUUAAAUGUAGCAAGAAGCAGUGAAAAAUUUUCAGCUUUAUGGUGUUUUCCAGGGGUCAAGGCAGAUAAUGGUUUCCUCUGAUAGAAGUUUCUUGGUCAAAGAAAAGCAUUUAAUAGCAGCAAUACCUGAAGCCCAUACUGUGCAACUUUAAGUAUCACCUGAGAUGGUGAACAGCUGGACAUAUUCACAGGGGCUUUUUUAUAUCCCUGGGACAUAAUGUCUUCUCUGAUCAUUUGCAAGAAAUAGAAAUGCUUUUCAUAUACAUGAGUUAAUACGCAUUUUAACUGGAAAAAGCAAGGUACUUAUCAGGAUAACACUGACAGGUGGCAGAGCAACUUGGACAGUACGAGAUAGAUAUUCUCAGCCAGCGGGUACCAAAAGAAAAUGGAAUAAUGCUGACUCGUGUAUGCUGAUCUGACUCCAAUUACAGCCACCUGAUUGUAUGAAAUAGGACAGUGGGACAACUAUUGCCACAAGUGCUUGUUUGCCCCAUUGGAAUUCCUUGAUUUUUCUUACAGUAUCCUUUCAAUCUCAAUAUAGCCAUGCUUUGUGCAGCAGCAUUCAUAAUUGCUUUCAGAUGGAGGAGCUGAGAAUAACACUUCUUUUUCUUGCCUGUGUGCAAAAGAACAAUAAUUGGAUUGUGAAUCAUGUAGCUGCAACUAGCCUGUUCAAAUGAAGACAGUAUUUUUUUCAGUCAUCCUGAGUCAUCUUUUCUUUUUAUACCAUUUUCCCCUUGUCACAUUUUUUUUCACCUUAUCCAUGGCCUAAAUAACCCCAAAAUAGCUCAAAGAUGAUGUAUCAUUCUUACUUUGUUAGCAGAUAAGUUUCAUGUGAAUUCUCUUUCUUACACUCUUUCACUCCCAAACAAAACAGGCACCCUGGUUAAACUUCAAUCUGAUUUUUUUGUAAUCUCAUUUUUUUGGAGAGCUAGAAAGUAUUUCAUGGAUGUGAAUACAUGGAUCCUUCUCAAUUUUCUUUCUUUCAAUCAUGCUACUUCACAAUAGAAAUGUCUUACUAAGACUGCUUACCAGCUUCACUAGCACACUUUAACCACUUUGGACUAUUUUUCUAAGUCAAAAUAGUCAGAAAUCUAAAUCCACUUUGCCAAUUAUUUUAGAUUUAUGGUUCUUUUGUGUUGGCAUGAACUACAGCGACUCAUAGCCACCUCUGCAUACAGGUAAUGUUGAUCCUUUAUAUUUUUUUUGUAGCUCUAAAUUUAUUAGUAAUAUUUCAGUACUGUGCCAGUAUCAGUUGCAACAAAAUAGCUGAAGUCAAAUUUAAAGUUUCCUUUAACUUCCUACUAAAACGUGCAUGUGCACACAUGAACUAUAAAUACACAGACAAGUCUUGAAAGAUGUACAUGAUUGCUAGCUUUAAUCGCCUCUCAGAAAGCUAAAAUUGUUUUUAAAAACCCUCUGUAUUAUCUGAUAAUGCAUGGGUCUUGCUGCGGUUUGUAUUAAGUGUGAGUUUCUCUCUCACAAAAUAAUGUACCAGAUCUCAAGGUUGGCUGUAGGACACACCAUUUUAGCUAAUAUCACACAGGAGAUCAGUUAUUUCCCAUUGUGAUUCCCAAUUGGCAUCUUGCAGUGAGCUUGUUUACUGCUCUGCAGCAAAAUAAAUUGUCUGCUGUUAAGUAUUUAAAAAAAAAAAAAAAAAAAAAAAACCUGCAUAAAAAUACUGUUAAGUCUCUGACUUAAGCUGACAAAUUCUAGGGAAGACUAAAUUAAAGAUAAAGUAUCAGUACAGCACUUGUUAUGUACAGCAGUAUUGCCCUGGAAUGGAAAAGGGAGUCAGGGCAGGUAAUAGCUUUUGUCUAGCUAUUACCAUGACAGGCUUUUACUUGGAUUCGGAAUAGCAAGAGCUCUCUAAAAGUCCUUCUUUCCUUAUUUAUUGUUUUCCUUUUCAGACAUGAACAAAACAGUGCAAAUGGGUCAGUACUUUUAAGCUAGCUUAUGGCACAAUAAUGAUUUGAAAUGGUUGAGCUGGAAGAAGAAUAGUAUUUGUAAUGGAGAUGUUGACUGAGCAAACCAACAGUGCAAUUAUAAUAUUGACUCUGUGAUAGAAUCAGCACUUCAGGAGAACAGCAAGCCUCCUUGACUUGAGGGUCUCUGGAUUAACUGGUUUUAAAAGGCAUUGGUCGAAAUAUGAAUGCUACACAAGUAACAUUAAGAAAAAGUAGUGUAAUAAUACUUUUGCUUUCUCUGUGCCAACAAAAUCCUGAAAGACACCCAGUGAGAGAAAUAUAAUUUAGACAUUACUCUGAAAAAAAAAAAAAAAAAAAAAACAAGGCAAGUAAAACCAAACAGAGAAUAUGUUCUGCACUGUGAAGAAUCAGAAAAGGAACAUAUUCUUGCUUCUGAGAAAAGGUAGAAGCAUAAGAAUAAAUGUAUAGAUGGCAGAUGAAAAGUGCUCUUCAAGAAGUGUGGACUUGGAAGAGAUGCCAAAGGAAUGCUGAUAAAGCUGUGAAACUAAAUAGGAAAAAAGUGAUUAGGAGAGUGCACUGGCUCUUUCUGGGAUGGAGGUCUGUCAACAAAACACUGCUGAUAACACAAAGAAGUCAAAGUCUUCUCUGUUUCUCACUCUGCCCUACUAGCUAGUAAGCUGGGAUAGUGCAAGAAGUUGGGCGAGGAUGUGACUAAGCAGAUGUCCCAAAGUAACCACAGAGAUAUAGCAUAACGUCAUGCAAUGAAAAGGGAGAGGAGGGGGUUUGUGGAGGAUAUUCUUUUCCUUGGAAACUAGCUGGGCAUCCAUCCACCUGCUGGGGUUGGUGAGAUACUGCUUUUGCAUAGCUUUUUUUUUUUUUUUUUUUUAAGAUUUUUCUUCUCUCUUCUUGCAUUUCUCCUUCACAUAUUAGACAUUAUUUUUUCAAUCUUGAACAACAAGUUUUCUUACUUAUACUCUUCUUUUUUUUUUUUUUUUUUCUUUUCCCAUUGCUCUGAGUGCAGAGAGUGAGUGAGUGGCUGUGUAGUGCUUAGCCGCUUACUGGAGUUAUUCCACAACAAGGAGAGAACAAAGAGUAGUCUUUGUUGGAUAAACAACAUAUCUAGGACAAUAAUAAUAAUAACAAAUAGUUACAUCUGGCAAUAUUAUGCAUUUUGAUAAUCUCUUGCAGAGGCAACAAAAAUCAAAGAAUAAAUCUAAUUGCAUUCAUAUUUUUCAUAACUUUCAGAUCCAUGGAAAGACUAAUAUAACAAAACUGUCCCUAUCCCACCACGCAUCUCCCCUCCCAGUGCUGCUUCCAGGACUACAGAAUCUUGUGUGGGUCAGAAGACAAAAUCCUGAGCAGCCUACAUAAGGGAAAGAAUAGUUGUCGUCUCAUUCAUUUGAUAAAAAUGGAUCAUCUUAUUCAAAGCUAAAGCAUAUUGGUGGAAAAGAAAAACUAUUUGCAGAAGUGGUAUUUCUACCAGUUACUAUUCUAGGCUCAGAUGCAAAUCACCAGGCACAGAACACUUAAAUCAGGAAAGUCACUUACAUUGUGUAUGGACAGUAGAAAAAAUAGCACCUUCAGACCACUAGUGUUCUAAUUUACUCGUGGAAAUGUCUUUCUCUGUUGGCAGCUACAUUCCGAAAAUAGACAUAAUCAGCAAUAUAAGGUGAAGGGAUUGGAAUAUGUGUUCUAAAUUUAGCUAAUUGUCCUUGCUCUGUGUCACCGUGUUUAUUUAGUGCUUCAAUAAUUGUAAGAGUUUCUCUAUGCGGGGACUCUUCCCAAUAAAAAUCUAUCCUUGUGAAGCUGCACAACUUCUUCACAGGCUCUGUAUGGAACAGUUGCUAUUUUUCAGUAAGAAUGUGGGUUGCAGCUGUAGAGAACAAAGUUUGGCUUCUAUUUUCAAAGCCUGAGGCUCUUGUCUGCAAAGACAACCUCUUGCUGCUUGAGUUGUGCAGUGUUUAAAUAAAAGUAAUCUCAGUGUUAAAUUCAAGCUCUCCAUGCCAUAGCAAUGAAAAUAACACACUGUGCCUGGGAAUUGCUUGUAGGGCUGGAGCCAUGCUGCUGCAAGCAGGUGUGUGCAUACAAAUAGUAAGCAAGGGGAUAGGAGCCCUCAGAGAACACUGGACUUUUUGUGUUUCCUGGAGAUUAAGUGGCUCAGCAGUUCAGUCAUUGUUGCAGCAAUGGGUGACUAGAUGAAUUCAUCUGCUUCCAUGAAUAGAUCCUGGGAGACCACUAAGAGAAUUUUUCUUCAUAUUUUCUGGCUAAUUCUGCGUAAGAUGCUUUCACACAAAAAAACACUACUGUCACUGAACUAAUUUCACCCAGUGUUGCAUUUCCUUAUCAAUAGAUAUUACACGUUGCUCUUAUUCAAAUGAAUAAACCAACAAAAAUUUAAAGUACUCAAAGAGCACAGGAAAAGGGGGAAAACGGGGGAAAAAAGAAUAUAUAUCUCUGUCAAUACCCUGUGGUUACACAUAUGCCUUAGUGCCUCUCAUACAUUCCCUGCCCUUGGGCCUGGGCACCCCAUUUCAGCUCUGCCUGCAGUUGCUGCUGAGCUGUGUUUCAGACAUAUCUUUGCCUUGUCCUCAUUUUGCACAUUGUUUGAAUUUUAUGUGUUGGUGCAACCUUGCACCUGACUCACCAUCUCACAUUUGUCUCACCUUCACUGGACUGUUUAUAGGAUCUGCAGCUGUCACCUCCCUGAUCUGCUCACCAUCUUCAGGUCAUAUGAGAUGGUGAGGACAUGGCCUGAAGACACUCAGAAAAAAAAUAUCUUAAUUUGGGAUAUUUGGGUCUUAUUAUUUUGAUGGGAGAAAUUAUGUGGUAAUAUGUUGUAUUAUGCUGUUGAUAUUAUCUUUGACUUGUACUACCGUAAUUUCACAGUUUCUACUCAUUUUCAAUGUUCACUGUUUCAUUCUUGUGUGGAAAUAUUCCACUCUGUAUUUCUUUCAAGAUGAUUCUAGCUGGUUUAUAGUCUCAUUUAACAUGCAAGAGAACACUCUUCUAAUCACUGAUUCUACAUCCCAAAAUAAAACCAAGAAUCCUUAUGCUUACAGUUUGGUUAAUACAGACUUAAUUUAGAAGUUCAAAGUUUUAGUGUACUGAAAUAUAUAUCAUUAGAGCUCUAACGUGCAACAUCUGCUUACAACUGAUAAUGCCACCCUUUUGUAAGUGAACAUUCAAUCCUAACUCAUUAUGCUUCUCCAAACAAGAUAUAAGCCUGAAACCUAGGAAGGAGAUUUGCUUCUGUUCACAGAGAUUGAUGCAAUCUGUAAUUAGAACCCCAUACUCUUCCCAGCUGCUGCUGUUGGC